rnacentral:lncRNA from 1 species
GCAGCUUGUCCUACAAAAUUUGGUGACCUAAAUGAAGCGAAGUACCCAAUGAACAUAAUUACUGGAAUAACAUCAUUCAUCAAAAUACAACCAGCAAAGCCAUCACGUGAGGAGAAGCGACAAACAGGACUGCAAAAGAAGAGGGAUUGAGAUGAUGAGACGAUAAAAAAAGAAAGAAGAAUUACAGUAUUAAAAUUGAAAGCAGAGGAGCUGAAAAGACGCAACGAGGAAAGGAUGAGGCGGGUACAGGAAGCUCGUGAAGAAAGAGAGCGUAAGGCUAUAGAAGCAAAGGAAUAACAAGACAGAGAUAGAAAGAACAGAGAGGAGCGACUAAGAGAACAGUUGCACAGAAAGCAGCAACUUCUUGCUAAGAAACGUGCAGAAGAGGCUAGAGUUAAGAAGAUUAAAGAACAGGUAGGUUUAAGCAGUAACCUUAGAAAUUAAAUUAUUAAC